rnacentral:rRNA from 1 species
AACGAACGCUGGCGGCAUGCCUAACACAUGCAAGUCGAACGAGACCUUCGGGUCUAGUUGCGCUCGUGUGCGUAACGCGUGGGAACCUGCCCUUAGGUUCGGAAUAACUCCCCGAAAGGGGUGCUAAUACCGGUUAAUCUCUUCGCACCAAAGAUGUCUCGCUUUUGGAUGGGCCCGCGUUGGUUUCGCUAGUUGGUAGUGUAAAAGCCUACCAAGGCGAAGAUGCAUAGCUGGUCGGAGAGGAGGACAAGCCGGAAUGGGCCUGCGACACGGACCAGAAUGCGACGGAGGGGAGCAGUGGGGAGUAUUGGAGGAGGGGCGAAAGCGUGACAACGCCGUGCCGGGGGAGUGAGGAAGGGGUUAGGGUUGUAAAGCUCUUUGACACGGGAUGAGAAUGACAGUACCGGGAGAAGAAGCACCGGCUAACUACGUG